AGUGAACGCUGGCGGUAGGCCUAACACAUGCAAGUCGAACGGCAGCACAGUAAGAGCUUGCUCUUACGGGUGGCGAGUGGCGGACGGGUGAGGAAUACAUCGGAAUCUACUUUUUCGUGGGGGAUAACGUAGGGAAACUUACGCUAAUACCGCAUACGACCUACGGGUGAAAGCAGGGGAUCUUCGGACCUUGCGCGAUUGAAUGAGCCGAUGUCGGAUUAGCUAGUUGGCGGGGUAAAGGCCCACCAAGGCGACGAUCCGUAGCUGGUCUGAGAGGAUGAUCAGCCACACUGGAACUGAGACACGGUCCAGACUCCGACGGGAGGCAGCAGUGGGGAAUAUUGGACAAUGGGCGCAAGCCUGAUCCAGCCAUACCGCGGGGGUGAAGAAGGCCUUCGGGUUGUAAAGCCCUUUUGUUGGGAAAGAAAAGCAGCAGGUUAAUACCCCGCUGUUCGGACGGGACCCAAAGAAUAAGCACCGGCGAACUUCGG
rnacentral:rRNA from 1 species